CCGCGGGUGGGACCUCCAUCCGAGCAAACGCUGCGCAUUAGCUGCUCGCUCUGCCGCCAGCGACUCCAUUACAGAUGCGCUCCGCAUGAUCUCGGAGUCUGCCGCGGUCUACCGUGGACCCGCUUGCUUCGACGCUGUCAGCGGCAAGCUCGUGGAAAAGGCGGGAGUCCAGUUCCGUUUCACGAGCGGAAGGUGUUUGCUCUCGGGCCUCACUGAUUCGUUGCUUCUUGUCAGGGACGUGUUGAAGAGUUGCAGAGAUUUGACUUCAGUUGUGUCUGGUCUUGCCUUCUUGUUUGUUGACUGUAGUGCAUUAGGCAUAAACGAAAGCUGGUGCUACUAAAUGCAAUCUUACUUUGGCCUCCACUUCCCUUUUAGUCUCAUAGCAUAAUACAACUCUCUGGAGGAAGUUACAUAAGUCAUGUCUUGCUUUUAGUUCCAAUUGAUCUCCAACUUAUGAAAACACUCUCAUUCUUGUUCCACUUGCUCCAGAUAAGAGCCAAAAGUUGGUCCUUGAUGCUAUUGUUAAGGUGUCACCAAAGCUUGCGGUCAUACUUGUGGAAGUAAGGUAGUUUCUGGAGAGGAAGUGGUACAUGCAUAAAAGCAACUAUUGGGGGGAAGAGAUGAAGGCCUUUGCAACAUCCUCAUUUACUUCCAAAAAUGGUAAAAUUGUUUGCACAGAGAAACUGGUGGCAAUAGCAAGACGAAGGACCUGUUUGUGUUCGGAAUCAUAUUGCAUGUGCUCAUCAUUUUAUCUUGAAGAACAAACAGCUAUUUGUUCAGCAAAAUAAGAUUCUUAGUGGCCUCAAAAUUCCCUCUGUUAUACUUCAGAUCAUCAUGAAGGCUGGCAUGCUUGAAGGUGGGGAAAGAACUCCAAUGCUGAAUCCUGUUGAACUUGAGGAGAUUGGUUCCAUGCUUGUGAGCUAUCCAUUAUAUUUGAUUGGGAUAUCAUUCUCAACACUGGAGGUUGGUGUGGAGCAAGUAAUACCAUACCAGUGACAAAAACUCUGGAAGCCAUCUCUAAGACUACAACAGCAGCCUUUUGAAGCUGAAGAUUGCUGCUCAAGGUCGGUUUGCAGCCUCUGCCGGUCUCACUUUGGUAAGCUCAGGUUGCUGCACAAGAUGCAAUAAACAAAUGGUGGCUGUGGUCAAAAGAAAGGAAAAAGAGGGGCUUUGCAUCCAAAGAAGAAACACUUUCAGUUACGUUCCACUUGGUCAGUAAAGCAAGGCAGGCAUUGAUUUCCAUAAAGGACACGAGAGAGAGAGAGAGAGGCCGAGGAAUGGAAUUCUGGGCUAGAUGCAGUGAAAGAGGCCAAGCUAAAGCAGUAAACCUAAUUGUGUGGCUGCUGCUUAUAGAAGAAUUGUGUAUUCAAAUCCCAGAGGACCAAGCUAUAGACGAAGACAAAGAUCAGUCAAGGGCUGCUGCUGAACCUGGCUGAUGCAAUCCACUUCAGCCUUCCAAGUAUUAUAAGGCUUCUUAGUCAUAGUAUAACACAGACAAUUUGGUGAGAUGUUACAAAAAUCUCCAAUCAGAACUCUGUCACAAAAAAAAAAAAAACACCAAAAAGAAAGAAAAGGAGGCAACAUCAGCAACUUGUUAAAAAGAAGGGAGAAUGAACUUUCUCAACCACUAUUAUGCUGCACUAAUGGGUGAAGAUCUGACAGCAGGUUUAGCUGUAUUGAGUAGUUGCAUCAAAAUCUAGUGGCAUCAUCCUCAGUUGGAACCUCUACUUUGUUCCUGACAAACUCGAGCAAGUUCCCUUCUUUUUUAGUCUUUCUGAAACGUCCAUGGAAGAACAAGAUCUCACAAAACUUGCCUGGAAGCUGACACGAGGUAUGAGUACAUUGGAAGCCAGGCUAACCUUCUCUGGCCUCGCAAUCUUCCAAGCUCCAAAAACUAUAUCGAGCCAGUACUACAAUAAAGCUUCUUUCACCAACCUUUGCAAGACACAGCUAAGGCCAUGGCCAAUAAUUGCGCAUCAGAUUGUAUCAGAUAGCAGAGGUGAGAUAUAAUACAGUUUUCUGUUCCCCACUGCUCUCA